rnacentral:lncRNA from 1 species
GGGAAACUUCCUCAGAUUCUCAAUUAUCACAGGGCAGAUUCAGAGCACGCACACUCCAGGCAGAGGAAGCAGGAGAAGGAGCGACGUGGAGGAAGAAAGAUGCAUGGAGGAGGAACGUCGUGCUCUGCUUCUGGCUUUGCUUGUCGGCUCUCCCCUGGGCGAGCAGAGCAGGCAGCUGGGAGCAGGGGAGGGAGCGCCGCGGGCACUGUGCAGCGUGCACCUGGGGACAGCAAUGCCCCCGGGCUCUGCUGGGGUGCAGAGCACAGUCCUCUGCAACAUCCCUUCUCUUUUUAUGAUGAAAACAUCUUUUGUAGCUGAUCCAGUGGAAGUCAAUGCAGUUGUAACGCACACACAUGAGAUCGUGUCUCUCCACUGCUGCCUUUCCCAUUAUCACAAGUAAAUAUCAGCCCGAAAAACAGAGGGAGCGUGAGCUCUGCCUCGCCUGGCGUCCCACAGUGCAAUUAGUUAGCACACAUCAACUGAAGCCUGAAAUGUGGAAUACAGGGAUCAGAGGAGCUCACCCAACGAAAC